rnacentral:rRNA from 1 species
ACUCCUACGAGAGGCAGCAGUGGGGAAUAUUGCACAAUGGGCGCAAGCCUGAUGCAGCCAUGCCGCGUGUAUGAAGAAGGCCUUCGGGUUGUAAAGUACUUUCAGCAGUGAGGAAGGCGGGUGUGUUAAUAGCGCAUUCGUUUGACGUUAGCUGCAGAAGAAGCACCGGCUAACUCCGUGCCAGCAGCCGCGGUAAUACGGAGGGUGCGAGCGUUAAUCGGAAUUACUGGGCGUAAAGCGCAUGCAGGUGGUUUGUUAAGUCAGAUGUGAAAGCCCGGGGCUCAACCUCGGAAUUGCAUUUGAAACUGGCAGACUAGAGUACUGUAGAGGGGGGUAGAAUUUCAGGUGUAGCGGUGAAAUGCGUAGAGAUCUGAAGGAAUACCGGUGGCGAAGGCGGCCCCCUGGACAGAUACUGACACUCAGAUGCGAAAGCGUGGGGAGCAAACAGGAUUAGAUACCCUGGUAGGAUAGCG